ensembl:lncRNA
AUGUUAGCACACCACUUCUUUUAACAAGUUGAACCCUUGUAGGUAAAGUGACAGCCGCAUGAUGCACUGCUUGGCAGUUUUCAUCCUGGAAAGAAACACAAGGCGAUUUUGGUCAGUAUACACACCAACAGGUGCUACAAUGUAAACAAGUGCUUCCUUCUCGAUCAUACUAUAGUUCCACUGAUGCUUUAGGAACAUUUUGGAGAAGUAAGACGAUCCAGUCCGUCUGUACCUUCCUGCAGAUAUUAUGGUAAGGUAGAUGGGCGUGGGCAGCACACAAGAGUCACAGGGAGGUUCUUCCGACUUGAAAAAUAAGGUAUUUAUUUAAACAUAUAUAUAUAAAAAGUGGCGCACAAGGACGGGUUGAUUCUGCAGGGAAGACUGGCCUCAGAGAGCCCCAGGUAGGAAUCUUCCAGUACUAGGGCAAAAACAGAAAAAGAUGAACAAAGACAGCGUCUUAUCCACAGUGAGCAGCCAGACGGCCUGAAUAGGCAGUUUACCACUCUGACGUCGGAACGAUCUGGCACUGAAUGGCAGGAAGACCCGGGUUCAUAUAGACCCUUUUCACGUCACGCAACUUCCGUUUUUACUCAAAGCCGGGUAAUGUUUACUUCAGCCAGCAUAGAGGAACGCUAUGGAAUAUACACCGUUCCUUCCAAAACAUGGCAAAAAUAAAUCUAGAUGAUGUACAGCGGCUGGCAGACAAAUUUUCACUCACAACACGUUCCAAACGUGAUAAAGGAUAUAAAUUCUUCAUUGAACAGUACCUGUUUGCGUAUGAAGGUAAGCAUUUUGUACUGUCCCGCCCAAAAUUACGUUAGCGGAGGAGUUAGGAUAACGGUAGUUUUUUCUUCUGCAGUGAAAGUCCAUAUUCUUUAUUAAUUUACUGUAACACAGACCUGAAAAACUCUUGUUGCAGUUAUGUUUAUUACUGAUGUUAGCUAUAUUUUGUGUAAGUUAUUGUUAACGUUAGAUACAAGUAAGUAACGCAUUUAUGGUUAAUGUUGUGCCCUUUUACCAAAACAUUGCAUUGGAAUAGUUUCGAAUGUAGUUGUCGAUGAGGUGACAGUGAGAGGGCGUUGUCACAGGUCCAUGAGGAAAAAUGAGGAGGCUCAUCACCUUAAGAUUUUUUCUGAUUUUCAUGUUCUGCUGCAGUUGCAGAAACUUUGCUGUAUCCCACAAAGUUCCAUUGUGGUUCAGUGUGUUUCUCAGCCUGAUGACAAUGAAUGUGUGGUGCCAAAAUCUAGAUGACGACCUUACACUCUGUGUUGGUCUUAGGGGUUCAUUGGACCCAUCAACGACCUUUGCUCAAAUAAAAAUUUAUAAUAACAAUUUCUAGAUCUACAAAAAAAAAAUGUUUUAAUGGAUUGUUAUCUGUUUUUAUGUAGGCGUGACAAAUAGUGACACUCAUGGUCUUUGGGGUCGUUUGGACCUUAGACAAUAACAUUUCAUUUUACAAAAUGAAUAUAUUAUUACAAAUAUAAUUUUACUCUGUUUAUUAAUGUUUUUGUUAUUCAGUUUUUGAAGGUUUUAUAAUGUCUAUAAAUAAAUAAUUAUUAAUUAUUGGACUCAAAAGACAAAAUGUAUCAUCAAUAUCAGAAACAACACAGAACAUUUAGACAGAAAUUUAAAAACAGAAGAGGGUUGUUUGAGGACAAUAUAGGCUGAGAAAUAUGCUGUGUGAUGUUAAAAUCAAAUAGGUGUUCAAAGUUCAUAGACCUGGUUUAAAAGUUUGUUCAAUGAAAUGUACAAUUGUUGUGCAGGAGACUUAUUUUCAUGUUUCUAUUAACAGGUUACAUUUCAUGCUAAAGAGGUUCCUGUGGUACUGAAAUGCAUGUCAGGUACCAGCUCUGCUGGGAAAGCUCUGUGCAACCACAUUGUGGCCUCAUUGUUUCAAAGUGCUCACUACUGUACCAUGGGCUUCAAGCAAUGUACCAUUGCCACUGUCAUGCACCAGCUCCCUGCAGACCUGGCCUAGGACACAUGGAAUUGCUCCUGAGGCAACAAAUGACAUGGUAGUGUGUAAACCAGUACCGAAGUCCAAGGAUCAUGCCCAAACUGGUGUGAAAUGUACACUGUACAGAGCAUAUGGUGGUCCUCUUCCAGAUCCUCACAUCAUUGCCAGUGUUGAGAAACUGCGAGACAAACGCCCACAACCAGGCAUUUGUAAAUUGCUCCACGGGCUUGAGGCCCUUAAUUUUGUGGACUCUAAAUUUGGCCCUGUGCCAUUUGGGUCUUUGCUCUCUUACCCUGGUGCCCCUGGAUUUCCUCAGUUGCCCGUUGAAGGUCAUAAUUUUAAAUAUCAAAUACAAUUUGAGUCUAACUACAAGAAACAAUGCCACUUAGAAAGCCUUAAUCGAAGCACAAACACGACUGCAGUCACAAUGCCCGCUGUGGACCCAGGUACGCAAACCCCGACUUACAGCCAGCAGAUUUGGUGAGAUUUGUCAUGUCCGUGGAGGGUCAACUGCAAAAUCCUUAGCUGUUCGCAUUCUGAGAGAAACUCCUCAGACAGCAGCUAUGAAAAGAGGGCUGGAACUGGAGCCUGACAUACUGAGGCAAUAUUCUGAUUUAUGUGAGGUCACUGUGACGCAGUGUGGGGUCGUCAUCCACCCUGAUGCACCUCACCUUGCAGCCAGCCCUGAUGCUAAAGUCUUCAACCCCAGAGAAACACCACCAUUUGGGUUAGCAGAGGUAAAGAGUUGUGAUGUUGAAGAUGUUUCUCAAGUUAAACACCUGAUCAUAGUUCGAGGCCAGGCCUGCCUUAAGAAAAGCCACAAAUUUUACUAUCAGGUUCAAGGCCAGCUGGCCAUAAGCGGACUUCAGUGGUGUGAUUUCUAACAGAUACUCACACUGACUUCACAGUUGAAAGAAUAUUUAGGGAUGAGGAGAUCAUCAACUCAAUGCGACAGAAGCUGGAUUAUUUUUAUCACAACAUCUACAUGGAUGUGUUAUUACGUUGAGACAGAAUUUUCAAAUGUAAAUAGUUCCAUGUACAUCUGAUGCAUGUUAUUCCUGUUGUAAAUACUUUUUCCAUUUACAACUUAAGUCAGAGUGCAUUGUAUGUAAAUAUCCUUUGUCUUAUCGAGCAGUGAUCACUCUAGUUUUUACAGUCUUAGUUGCAAGGAACUGCUUCC